GAAGUAAACAGAACCACGCCGAUCUAUCCCAUAGAAGUGCGCCCCGUGUCACCAUCUCCCAGCCCUCCUCUGUGGACUCCAGUGCUGAGCUGUCCACCGCCAGGCGCGUUCUGACAGAGAAGUUUUAUUUAUUCGUCCAAGUGACUGUCGCGGAAACUGCCACAUUCUAACUUUUAUUUAAUUGGCAGUACUUGAUAGUACAAGAGAUGAAGAAAACGGCUUUGCGUCUUUCUACUUAACUGCGCCGAGGUGUAGAAGACCACCUUCAGCGGUGAGGGGUCGUAACAACAAAGUGGAUGCUGGAAGGCACAGAAUGUUGGGCUGCUCUGCCGGAUUGACAGCUUCGCAGUUUUGGGCAGCAUCCUCUCUUUUCACACCGUUUGUGACACUUCAAGUGCCCCGUCGGCUCAUUGGACAGUGGAAAUCUUUGCAAAUUAGUGUAAUCAGCGCCAUUGAAGCGUGACUCUCUUGGUAAACUGCGGAGCACGGCUACUUACUGUCCCUUAGAGAGGAGUUAUACCAGUUGACAGUGUCUGGGUCACAGUGGCCAUCGACAGCCUUUAUUGAAAAAUUUUCUGAAGAUUUGAAAGAGAUGGGUGGUCAGAUAGGAGUCAUUGCAGAUAGUCCUCAGCAGAUACGGGAUAAUUUAGUAAAAGUGGUGGUGUACUAUCAACAACUAAAUUAUGAACAGAUUGAAGAGGAGCCCUCUCUCACUGAGAUUGAUGUUAUUUCCAAUAUGGGAGGACUGAUUGGUCUCUGGGUGGGAUUUUCUGUCUGCACACUGGCAGAGUUCUUCGAGCUCUUUGUCGAUGUGCUGUUUUUCAUGGUCAGACAAUGUCUCAGUAAAGCCAGAAAAAGUGCUUCAGCAAGUGGCUAUACCAAUCCAUAUUCAGGCAAGGGGAGCCCCAUCUUUAUUGGGCAGACGACUUCCAAACUCUAAUUAUUUUACUGAGCUAAAUGUAUUUACUUUGAAGGAGAUCUGAGCAUGGGGAGUUAACUGAAGAUUAGACAGGGUGAUGGUAAUAUAAUCUGCUUGCAUACCACAACUGCCAGCAAAAUGUCCCAUUAUUCAUAGAACUGAACAUUGUUAGUUCUGUGCUAAAUUCUACUAUCUUAAUAUUUUCUGUCUGUGUUAAAAAAGAAGGAACAUAAAAGCCUGCUGCAUACAUUUUGUAUUUUUUUUAUUUCACUGUGUUUCUUCUGUCUCUGCCAUGAACAUAAGCUAAUCAUUAUUUUGAAAUACCGAAAUGUACUUCCUUUCAAAAUUAUUUAAAAAGUGGAGUAAGAGGCCCACCAGAAUGGUGGUCAUUUCAAACAAACAUGCCCUUGGCUCUGAAACCAGGAUAAAAAUUCCAAACAACAUAACCUUAAAGCCUUAAAUACCCUGUAAAUUGUACUGACACUAAACAGAAAAACUGUAUGAACAGAUGAGAACGUUUACUUUUUGUUUAUUAAAGGAGGAAAACAGAG